GCCUGGAUAGCUCAGUCGGCAGAGCGCAAACUUGGUAAGUUUGAGGCCUCCGGUUCGAUCCCGGAUCCAGGCUCCA
rnacentral:tRNA from 3 species